CCUGCCCGCGCAGGCAAGGCCUCGCAACCCUGCGGCGGCCUGGCCAAGCUCUGGGAGGCGAAGAUGAGAUCGGCGCGACUGACGGCCGCCGAGUCCCCGACGAGAGGCCUCCAGGAGGUCCCCGUCGGUCCUUGGAGCCACGCCGCCGUCGACGACGCUAGAAGCCACGCCGUGGUGCGCACCGAGAGCGUCAUCCGCUACGAUGAAUUUUCCCUCUCCACACGCCCCUGAAAGGCCGUCAUGGCCCACCGCCGGGUCCCCGACGGACACCAGCCCCGCCGAGAAGCCCUACUCCAUUUGGAUCAUCUGGCUGACCCUGUCCGCGGUGCUCUUCUGCCUGCUGGCGCUCUGCUACGUC